AACGAAAGUCAGAGGUUCGAAGGCGAUUAGAUACCGCCCUAGUUCUGACCGUAAAUGAUGCCAACUGUCAAUCCGCUGGUGUAUCUAAUGCACGGGCGGGCGGACUACCGGAAACGAAAGUCUUUCGGUUCCGGGGGAAGUAUGGUUGCAAAGCUGAAACUUAAAGGAAUUGACGGAAGGGCACCACCAGGAGUGGAGCUUGCGGCUUAAUUUGACUCAACACGGGAAACCUCACCCGGCCAGUACAUCGUGAGGAUUGACAGACCGAUAGCUCUUUCAUGAUUCGGUGAAUGGUGGUGCAUGGCCGUUCUUAGUUCGUGGAUUGAUUUGUCUGGUUUAUUCCGAUAACGAGCGAGACGCCAACUGUUAACUAGUGCGCCGAUUACUCCGGUUGUCCGGCGAUCACUUCUUAAAGGGAUUUGUGGUUGUAAACCUCAAGAAAUGGCGCAAUAACAGGUCUGUGAUGCCCUUAGAUGUUCGGGGCCGCACGCGUGCUACAAUGGUGGUAGCAGCGUGAUUGUCCUACUCCGAUAGGAGAUGGCAAACAGUUGAGUUAUUACUAUGGCUGGAAUUGAGUGUUGAAAUUUUCACUCAUGAACGAGGAAUUCCAAGUAAAUGCGCGUCAUCACCGUGCAUUGAUUACGUCCCUGCCCUUUGUACACACCGCCCGUCGCUCCCCGGGACUGAGUUGUUUCGAGAAAUCCACGGACCGGUGGCGU
rnacentral:rRNA from 1 species